CAGUAGCCGCGGUAAUACGUAGGUGGCAAGCGUUGUCCGGAAUUAUUGGGCGUAAAGGGCUCGCAGGCGGUUUCUUAAGUCUGAUGUGAAAGCCCCCGGCUCAACCGGGGAGGGUCAUUGGAAACUGGGAAACUUGAGUGCAGAAGAGGAGAGUGGAAUUCCACGUGUAGCGGUGAAAUGCGUAGAGAUGUGGAGGAACACCAGUGGCGAAGGCGACUCUCUGGUCUGUAACUGACGCUGAGGAGCGAAAGCGUGGGGAGCGAACAGGAUUAGAUACCCCCGUAGUCCCUGUCUCUUAUAA
rnacentral:rRNA from 1 species